UGGCGGACGGGUGAGUAACGCGUGAGCAACCUGCCCUUCGGAGGGGGAUAGUGUCUGGAAACGGACAGUAAUACCGCAUAACGUAUUUUUACCGCAUGAUAGAAAAUACCAAAACUGAGGUGCCGAAGGAUAGGCUCGCGUUGGAUUAGAUAGUUGGUGGGGUAACGGCCUACCAAGUCGACGAUCCAUAGCCGGACUGAGAGGUUGAACGGCCACAUUGGGACUGAGACACGGCCCAGACUCCUACGGGAGGCAGCAG
rnacentral:rRNA from 1 species